CAGCCGCCGCGGGAAUACGUAGGGUGCAAGCGUUAAUCGGAAUUACUGGGCGUAAAGCGUGCGCAGGCGGUUUGUUAAGACAGAUGUGAAAUCCCCGGGCUCAACCUGGGAACUGCAUUUGUGACUGGCAAGCUAGAGUCUGGCAGAGGGGGGUGGAAUUCCGCGUGUAGCAGUGAAAUGCGUAGAUAUGCGGAGGAACACCGAUGGCGAAGGCAGCCCCCUGGGCCAACACUGACGCUCAUGCACGAAAGCGUGGGGAGCAAACAGGAUUAGAUACCCGUGUAGUCCCUGUCUCUUAUAC
rnacentral:rRNA from 1 species